GCUGAAGAAACACAAGAACGAACAAGGAGACCACUACAAUGGCAAAAGUUGGAUUCCAGAGCAUAGCAAAAGAGGAGAGCUGUUAAUGGAUGCCUAGUACAAUGUAAUAAAAAAGGAUGCAAAUACAGAUUUUAUAGAUAUGGUAGGUUGAGGGCCUUGGCUUUUACCAUCUUCAUGAAUCAGAAAGCCAUCAGACAAACUGUUUAUGGCAUCGACGGAUGAGGAAAAGCAGUGAUGUGGAAUAGCAAGGGGAAUAAGUGAAAAGGGUGACUAUCAAUUGCUUCAUAGCAUCAUGAUCCUAGCAAAUACUGAGACAUAUGGUUACACAUUGCUCACUUCCAUUGUACAUGGUUAUAAUACAUGCACAAUGUAUGAAUAUACAUUGGUAGAGACUCAGAACCAGCUUUCAGGAAAGUUCCAUGAAGAAUUCAGAAAGAGGGGUGUUCUGUUACUACAAAAUACAAGUUAUGUGGUGAUAACAAAGGUUUCUGAGCAGAACAAUGUCCUAUAAUUGUGGGGAAUAGUAAAAAAUUAAGAAACUUAGUUUGUAAAGUGACCAAGAAGUACAAUGGCCUCAGAUAUAUAAGGCUUCCAAAACACUUUAAACUGGCCUUACUGAACAUAAGAUAGUUCUAGUUUCAACUCACCAAGUCAAUAGCUGUCCGGCCCAGUUACAGUUUCUAAAUUUUAUUAUUCCCUGUCACCCAGAUGGUAGUGAUAUGGAAAUAUCCUGUGGUACCAGGAAAUAGUGGCAGCCUAUAAUGAUACCCUGGGUGCUUCUGAAGACACACUGGGUCCAAAACCACAGCCACUGCUCUAGUCGAUGUUUUUUUGUUGUUGUUUUUUGAGACGGAGUCCCACUCCUUGUCCAGGCUGGAGUGCAGUGGCACGACCUUGGGUCACU
rnacentral:lncRNA from 1 species